GUAAUAAUCAGGUUAGGAAUCUGUCCCUAAAAACUAGCCUAUCCAAGUUCAAAAAUUCUGAGAUGUGCUUCAGAUGACGGAAGCUGAGACACGAGUUUUUAAUAUUUCAAUCGGAUAAGUUUGAGAUUGAUUAUGUUGAUACGGAGGAGGUUCGCUGGUUUGAGAUGAUAGUGAUAGAAGAUUCUAACUCUGAUAAUGAAGAUAUGGGUAGUGACUUGGUUAUUGAGAUGGUCAAAAGGGUGGCGGUGAAAAGAAAGAUGCCAGUUGCUAACUCAAGUCAUCAAAGGGAAGAAAGAGUUGCCGUAUCUCAACAUGCUCUUGCUUCUCUGCAAAGGAAAAUCGUGCUCCUACAUACUUAAGAGCCUGAUCCUACUCCGAACGCGGCCUAUGGAGAAUAGCCUCUGUCAUCCUCAUUUGAUGCCUUCAUUCAUAGUCAAGUCACAGUUGAAGAUAAUUACCAUUUGGCUGGUGCUAUUAGAAAGAGGGUGUACUAUGAAGCUGAUCGAGAACAUCUGUACUGAGAUGUGGAUGAUGAUCUCUUUUUCUGCUCUAUGUCCCUAAGCCUAUAGUCUAUCUCUACUAUGCAUGCUGUAAGGGAGCGAUACUGCUCUGUGGUAAGUUGCAGAUGGCCAACACCAUGCUCAAUACUGAGCUAAAAAAUGGCAAGUCAAGGAUCAAGUUUGUUGAAGAAUUAAAUAGUUCUUUUGGGUUUGAUAAUGCCAUUUUGAAGAACAAAUAAGAGGAGGAUUAUAAAAAAUUGAGGAAUUGAGGAAGAAGGCAAAGGAUCUUCAGUAACAGACGGAUAGUGCUGCCGAUCGUUCUCCUGAUGCAUAUAUCAUCUUCCAAGAGACUGCGGUGAAGGAACUGGAGAAAUGUCAUUCUGGCCAAGACUUUGAGUGGGUGCACAACCUUAUGCCUAGUCAAUCUUUUUUCCCUAGUGCAAAUAAUGAGGAUGAAGAUGGGGAUAGUUUUGAUGAGCUGGAAGCUAUGCUUGGAGAGUCUCAGGGUGAUAGUUAAGCUUUCAUAGUAUUUUGGUAGAAUGCUUUCUUUGUUAUUUGUAAUGGCCUUUUGUGCUAUCUUUUGUAAUAAAUGAACUUUAUCAUGAAUGAAGACUAUUAUUCGGCUUAA